rnacentral:lncRNA from 1 species
GGGAGUAUUUAUUCUAAAAGAAGGUUGAUGAUCGGAGGGAAGGAAGUGGUCAGAAUCUUAGAGAGAAGGUGGAGGGUUUUAGAGAGAAGGAGGAGAAAAUGGAGUUAUGAAGUUUUGGAGAAGAAGAUUGUAUGCAGGGAAAAUGAUGCCAAAUUUAAAUUUCUAACUUUUAUACCACCUCCAAAACCGAACGGUCGAGUCCCAUGCUGCCACAUGUUUUCCACUUUCUAAAUUGCUGCACUCCAUGAGCUGCCACUUGGAUUCCACUUCCUGUACAUCUCAUCUCCUUCUGCUGCCGCACGGUUUCCAACGGAUGGGGAAUUAAAGAAUGGUUGACAGCUUUGUCUCCCAUUACCAUGGGAAAACUGGGAGGGUAUGACAUGUGUCUCCCACUAAGGUGGAGAAUUUAUGGGAUGUGACAAUCAUUAGUUUUCUAAUUAUUCUUUAUUUCUUUUUCUGAAUUAUUUUUUUUUUCAAUUAUUUGAUUUUUUCUAUAAAUUCAUAAAGUUCAUUUUUAUCUUUCAUUAAAUUUUCUUCUCAUCAUAACAUUGAUUAAAUUUUUUUUUCUUUUAUCUAGUUUCAUUUAAAUCACAUAUAUGGUAUUUAAAAAUACAAAAAGC